rnacentral:rRNA from 1 species
UACAGAGGGGGCAAGCGUUGUUCGGAAUUACUGGGCGUAAAGGGCGCGUAGGCGGCCUGCUAAGUCGAACGUGAAAUCCCCGGGCUCAACCCGGGAACUGCGUCCGAUACUGGCAGGCUUGAAUCCGGGAGAGGGGAUGUGGAAUUCCAGGUGUAGCGGUGAAAUGACGUAGAUAUCUGGAGGAACACCGGUGGCGAAGGCGGCAUCCUGGACCAUUACUGACACUGAAAAGCGAAAGCCAGGGGAGCAAACGGG